rfam:Bacillus sp. HMSC76G11 genomic scaffold Scaffold344, whole genome shotgun sequence.
GGUUAAGUUAUGAAGGGCGCACGGUGGAUGCCUUGGCACUAGGAGCCGAUGAAGGACGGGACUAACACCGAUAUGCUUUGGGGAGCUGUAAGUAAGCUUUGAUCCAGAGAUUUCCGAAUGGGGAAACCCACUGUUCGUAAUGGAACAGUAUCUUUAUCUGAAUACAUAGGAUAUUGAAGGCAGACCCGGGGAACUGAAACAUCUAAGUACCCGGAGGAAGAGAAAGCAAACGCGAUUUCCCAAGUAGCGGCGAGCGAAACGGAAUUAGCCCAAACCAAGAGGCUUGCCUCUUGGGGUUGUAGGACACUCUAUACGGAGUUACAAAGGAACGGGGUAGAUGAAGCGACCUGGAAAGGUCCGUCAGAGAAGGUAAAAACCCUGUAGUCGAAACUUCGUUCCCUCCAGAGUGGAUCCUGAGUACGGCGGGACACGAGAAAUCCCGUCGGAAGCAGGGAGGACCAUCUCCCAAGGCUAAAUACUCCCUAGUGACCGAUAGUGAACCAGUACCGUGAGGGAAAGGUGAAAAGCACCCCGGAAGGGGAGUGAAAAGAUCCUGAAACCGUGUGCUUACAAGUAGUCAGAGCCCGUUAAUGGGUGAUGGCGUGCCUUUUGUAGAAUGAACCGGCGAGUUACGAUCCCGUGCAAGGUUAAGUUGAUGAGACGGAGCCGCAGCGAAAGCGAGUCUGAAUAGGGCGUUUUAGUACGUGGUCGUAGACCCGAAACCAGGUGAUCUACCCAUGUCCAGGGUGAAGUUCAGGUAACACUGAAUGGAGGCCCGAACCCACGCACGUUGAAAAGUGCGGGGAUGAGGUGUGGGUAGCGGAGAAAUUCCAAUCGAACCUGGAGAUAGCUGGUUCUCUCCGAAAUAGCUUUAGGGCUAGCCUCAAGUAUGAGAGUCUUGGAGGUAGAGCACUGAUUGGACUAGGGGCCCUCAUCGGGUUACCGAAUUCAGUCAAACUCCGAAUGCCAAAGACUUGCUCCUUGGGAGUCAGACUGCGAGUGAUAAGAUCCGUAGUCAAGAGGGAAACAGCCCAGACCACCAGCUAAGGUCCCAAAGUAUACGUUAAGUGGAAAAGGAUGUGGAGUUGCUUAGACAACCAGGAUGUUGGCUUAGAAGCAGCCACCAUUUAAAGAGUGCGUAAUAGCUCACUGGUCGAGUGACUCUGCGCCGAAAAUGUACCGGGGCUAAACGUAUCACCGAAGCUGUGGACUGUUCUUACGAACAGUGGUAGGAGAGCGUUCUAAGGGCGUUGAAGCUAGACCGUAAGGACUGGUGGAGCGCUUAGAAGUGAGAAUGCCGGUAUGAGUAGCGAAAGAGGGGUGAGAAUCCCCUCCACCGAAUGCCUAAGGUUUCCUGAGGAAGGCUCGUCCGCUCAGGGUUAGUCGGGACCUAAGCCGAGGCCGAAAGGCGUAGGCGAUGGACAACAGGUUGAUAUUCCUGUACCACCUCCUCACCAUUUGAGCAAUGGGGGGACGCAGGAGGAUAGGGCAAGCGCGCUGUUGGAUAUGCGCGUCCAAGCAGUUAGGCUGAGAAGCAGGCAAAUCCGCUUCUC